AUGGGGGAGAGGGGGAGAGACCGGGAAUGGGGACUGCCCUCCCAUCUACCAUACCCAGAUACUCUUCCCUCUGCACCCCCCCACAAGAUACAUUACCUGCCAGGGCCUCCCACCCGCCCCGAUGCUCGGUCGUCUCCUCUUCCUCCGCCGCUGCCGCCGCCGCCGCCGCCGCCGCGCUCCCUCUCGCAGCCGCAUCCCCAGAUGUGCGCCAGAUGUGCGGGUCACGCUCCCUGGUUCGCACAAAGAGGUCGCCCCCAUCCGGAAAAGGAAGUAGGCCGGGAUUCCCCUUCUCUCUUAGCUGCUGAAGAAAGAGGGAGGAGUAAUUUUAUGCCUUACCCAGAAGAGUGGAAAACCUACAAGGGAAGUUGCAGUGCAAGGUAAGAAAAUGAGACUGGAGCAGAGAAAACAUUUGGUUAGCUUCCCAGGGCACUGCUUCCAGACAUCUAGACAAGGAUAACACGGUAGAGGUAUGCUUGAAACAAUAAUGGGCUCUAUAUGUGGCAACAUGAAGAGGUUUUUGCAUGCUGUUCCCAGAAAUCACUAUCUGGAAUUUGGAAACCAUUCAUAGGUGUGUAGGCUGGGAUUUGCACAGAACUGAUUUAUUAUUGACUUCUUACAAAGCAAAAGAAUAUAUUGCUUAAUUUGAAAAAUAAAACAUAUUCUGCUUUUGUUGUUAAGCA
rnacentral:lncRNA from 1 species